rnacentral:rRNA from 1 species
CUCCUACGGGAGGCAGCAGCUAAGAAUCUUCCGCAAUGGGGGAAACCCUGACGGAGCGACGCCGCGUGGACGAUGGAGGCCGUAAGGUUGUAAAGUCCUUUUCCUGGUGAAGAAUAGGUGGGGGAGUGGAAAGCCCCUGCGAUGACGUUAGCCAGGGAAUAAGCCCCGGCCAAUUACGUGCCAGCAGCCGCGGUAAUACGUAUGGGGCAAGCGUUGUUCGGAGUUAUUGGGCGUAAAGGGCGUGUAGGCGGCUCAUCAAGUCUGGUGUGAAAAUGCAGGGCCUAACCCUGCAGAUGCGCUGGAAACUGGUGGGCUUGAGUUCCUGAGGGGAAGCUGGAAUUCCAGGUGUAGGAGUGAAAUCUGUAGAUAUCUGGAAGAACACCGGUGGCGAAGGCGAGCUUCUAUCAGAGGACUGACGCUGAGGCGCGAAAGCGAGGGGAGCAAACAGGAUUAGAUACCCUGGUAGUCCACGCUGUAAACGAUGUGCACUAGGCGUGGGGCACGUCCGUGCUCUGUGCCGAAGCUAACGUGAUAAGUGCACCGCCUGGGGAGUAUGCUCGCAAGGGUGAAACUCAAAGGAAUUGACGGGGGCCCGCACAAGCGGUGGAGCAUGUGGUUUAAUUCGAUGGUACACGAGGAACCUUACCAGGGCUUGACAUGUACGUGGAUGUUCACGAGAGUGGGCAGCCUCGCAAGGGGCGCGUACACAGGUGCUGCAUGGCUGUCGUCAGCUCGUGUCGUGAGAUGUUGGGUUAAGUCCCGCAACGAGCGCAACCCUUACCGUCUGUUGCAAACAGGUUGUGCUGUGCACUCGGACGGAACUGCCGGUGACAAACCGGAGGAAGGUGGGGAUGACGUCAAGUCAUCAUGGCCCUUAUGUCCUGGGCUACACACGUGCUACAAUGGUCGGUACAAAGCGGAGCGAAACGGCGACGUGGAGCAAAUCGCAGAAAGCCGAUCUCAGUGCGGAUUGGAGUCUGAAACCCGACUCCAUGAAGUUGGAAUCGCUAGUAAUCGCGCAUCAGAAUGGCGCGGUGAAUACGUUCCCGGGCCUUGUACACACCGCCCGUCACACCACCC